rnacentral:rRNA from 1 species
UACGUAGGUGGCAAGCGUUACUCGGAAUCACUAGCGUAAAGCGCAGGUAGGCGGUUCGGUAAGUCUCUUGUGAAAGCUCCCGGCUCAACUGGGAGAGGUCAAGGGAAACUACCGGGCUAGAGUGUGGCAGAGGAAGCUGGAAUUCCCGGUGUAGCGGUGAAAUGCGUAGAGAUGCGGAGGAACACCAGUGGCGAAAGCGACUUUCUGGUCCUUAACUGACGCUGAGGCGCGAAAGCAUGGGGGAGCGAACGGG